rnacentral:rRNA from 1 species
GACGAACGCUGGCGACGUGCCUAACACAUGCAAGUCGAACGGAGUAAUUUCUUCGGAGAUUACUUAGUGGCGAACGGGUGAGUAACGCGUGAGGAACCUGCCUUUCAGAGGGGGACAACAGUUGGAAACGACUGCUAAUACCGCAUAACGCGUAGAGGUCGCAUGGCCUUUACGCCAAAGAUUUAUCGCUGAAAGAUGGCCUCGCGUCUGAUUAGCUAGUUGGUGAGGUAACGGGCCCACCAAGGCGACGAUCAGUAGCCGGACUGAGAGGUUGAACGGCCACAUUGGGACUGAGACACGGCCCAGACUCCUACGGGAGGCAGCAGUGGGGGAUAUUGGACAAUGGGGGCAACCCUUAUCCAGCGACGCCGCGUGAGGGAAGAAGGUUUUCGGAUUGUAAACCUCUGUCAGUGGGACGAUAAUGACGGUACCCACGGAGGAAGCCACGGCUAACUACGUG